AUGGGGAGAAGACAUUGUGUCUUCGAGUCGUUGAUUUCACACUGCCGAGAAAAGCCUCUAGAUAGAAAAUAGGUGCCCGUACCGCAAACCGACACAGGUAGUCAAGAUGAGAAUUCUAAGGUGAGCGAGCGAACUCUCGUUAAGGAACUCGGCAAAAUGACCCCGUAACUUCGGGAGAAGGGGUGCUCUUUAGGGUUAACGCCCAGAAGAGCCGCAGUGAAUAGGCCCAAGCGACUGUUUAUCAAAAACACAGGUCUCUGCUAAACCGUAAGGUGAUGUAUAGGGGCUGACGCCUGCCCGGUGCUGGAAGGUUAAGAGGAGUGGUUAGCUUCUGCGAAGCUACGAAUCGAAGCCCCAGUAAACGGCGGCCGUAACUAUAACGGUCCUAAGGUAGCGAAAUUCCUUGUCGGGUAAGUUCCGACCCGCACGAAAGGCGUAACGAUUUGGGCACUGUCUCAACGAGAGACUCGGUGAAAUCAUAGUACCUGUGAAGAUGCAGGUUACCCGCGACAGGACGGAAAGACCCCGUGGAGCUUUACUGUAGCCUGAUAUUGAAAUUCGGCACAGCUUGUACAGGAUAGGUAGGAGCCUUUGAAACGUGAGCGCUAGCUUACGUGGAGGCGCUGGUGGGAUACUACCCUAGCUGUGUUGGCUUUCUAACCCGCACCACUUAUCGUGGUGGGAGACAGUGUCAGGCGGGCAGUUUGACUGGGGCGGUCGCCUCCUAAAAGGUAACGGAGGCGCUCAAAGGUUCCCUCAGAAUGGUUGGAAAUCAUUCAUAGAGUGUAAAGGCAUAAGGGAGCUUGACUGCGAGACCUACAAGUCGAGCAGGGUCGAAAGACGGACUUAGUGAUCCGGUGGUUCCGCAUGGAAGGGCCAUCGCUCAACGGAUAAAAGCUACCCCGGGGAUAACAGGCUUAUCUCCCCCAAGAGUUCACAUCGACGGGGAGGUUUGGCACCUCGAUGUCGGCUCAUCGCAUCCUGGGGCUGUAGUCGGUCCCAAGGGUUGGGCUGUUCGCCCAUUAAAGCGGUACGCGAGCUGGGUUCAGAACGUCGUGAGACAGUUCGGUCCCUAUCCGUCGUGGGCGUAGGAAAUUUGAGAGGAGCUGUCCUUAGUACGAGAGGACCGGGAUGGACAUACCUCUGGUGUACCAGUUGUCGUGCCAACGGCAUAGCUGGGUAGCUAUGUGUGGACGGGAUAAGUGCUGAAAGCAUCUAAGCAUGAAGCCCCCCUCAAGAUGAGAUUUCCCAACUUCGGUUAUAAGAUCCCUCAAAGAUGAUGAGGUUAAUAGGUUCGAGGUGGAAGCAUGGUGACAUGUGGAGCUGACGAAUACUAA
rnacentral:rRNA from 1 species